rnacentral:rRNA from 1 species
AGACGGAGGGGGCUAGCGUUGUUCGGAAUGACUGGGCGUAAAGGGCGCGUAGGCGGCUUAUCAAGUCAGGUGUGAAAGUCUUGGGCUUAACCCAAGAAUUGCGCUUGAUACUGAUAAGCUAGAGGAUGAUAGAGGAAAGCGGAAUUCCUAGUGUAGAGGUGAAAUUCGUAGAUAUUAGGAAGAACACCAGAGGCGAAGGCGGCUUUCUGGAUCAUAUCUGACGCUGAGGCGCGAAAGCGUGGGGAGCAAACAGGAUUAGAAACCCUAGUAGUCC